rnacentral:RNase_P_RNA from 1 species
AGUCUGAGAUGACUAUAGUGUUUGUGUAAGUAUAUAAAAAAUAAAACUUAACAGCUAAAGUAAUUUGGUUGAUGGCAGAAAAGCUUUUCUAAGUAAUGGGAGAUUAUAGGAAAAAUUUUCUAUAAAGUGCCACAGAGACGAGUUGCAGAAAUGCAAAAAGUGAAACGCGGUAAACCCCUCAAGCA